rnacentral:rRNA from 1 species
GAUGAAGCCCUUCGGGGUGGAUUAGUGGCGAACGGGUGAGUAACACGUGGGCAAUCUGCCCUUCACUCUGGGACAAGCCCUGGAAACGGGGUCUAAUACCGGAUACGACGCGCUCGGGCAUCCGAUGUGCGUGGAAAGCUCCGGCGGUGAAGGAUGAGCCCGCGGCCUAUCAGCUUGUUGGUGAGGUAACGGCUCACCAAGGCGACGACGGGUAGCCGGCCUGAGAGGGCGACCGGCCACACUGGGACUGAGACACGGCCCAGACUCCUACGGGAGGCAGCAGUGGGGAAUAUUGCACAAUGGGCGAAAGCCUGAUGCAGCGACGCCGCGUGAGGGAUGACGGCCUUCGGGUUGUAAACCUCUUUCAGCAGGGAAGAAGCGAAAGUGACGGUACCUGCAGAAGAAGCGCCGGCUAACUACGUGCCAGCAGCCGCGGUAAUACGUAGGGCGCGAGCGUUGUCCGGAAUUAUUGGGCGUAAAGAGCUCGUAGGCGGUCUGUCGCGUCGGAUGUGAAAGCCCGGGGCUUAACCCCGGGUCUGCAUUCGAUACGGGCAGACUAGAGUGUGGUAGGGGAGAUCGGAAUUCCUGGUGUAGCGGUGAAAUGCGCAGAUAUCAGGAGGAACACCGGUGGCGAAGGCGGAUCUCUGGGCCAUUACUGACGCUGAGGAGCGAAAGCGUGGGGAGCGAACAGGAUUAGAUACCCUGGUAGUCCACGCCGUAAACGGUGGGAACUAGGUGUUGGCGACAUUCCACGUCGUCGGUGCCGCAGCUAACGCAUUAAGUUCCCCGCCUGGGGAGUACGGCCGC